UUUGUUCAAGUAAGUGCGGACGAUGAGCCU
rnacentral:sRNA from 1 species